UCUCUCACCAGCAAGUGUGCACUACUGCUUCGUCUUCAGUGGUGUGUGUAGUGCAGCGGAUCAGAUGGAGAGGGGAAAGAAUCAGGGUGAGACAGAGGCAGAGAUGAGAGAAGGGGAAAGAGCAUGGUAGACAGCUGAAGAGGGAACUGUUGUCCACAUAAACAGAAACAGAUGAUGAUUAUUCAGAAGACAAACUGUUGGCUGAGUCUGCGAGACACCGGUAGGAAUUUACUGGAAUCAUAAUCUUUUGAUACUGUGAAAUCAACAUUGCCAGAAAAUGCUGCAAGGCUCAUCUGUUUGGCGGAGUGGUGGUGUGUCACCCUAAGUUAAAAAGAAAAAUAGAGCUUUGAGGAGUAAACAUUCAUCUCUGCAGUGAGAGGUACAGGCAGAGACAUUCCUGCUGUUGUCUUAUCUAAAUAUUAGGCAAAACACAAUGUGCAUCAUGCCAAG